rnacentral:lncRNA from 1 species
GCAACUAGGAAAAACUAACCCAGACAUAGCCGAGAGACCCCGGCCUGAACCGAAAUCCGAGGGACAACCCUGAGCCGAGCUGAGAACUUCACGUAGCCGUAGAAAGUCGCGUCAAGUACGUUUGGAUAUUUAAUGCCAUUUGGGGUCGUAAAAAUUUUGAGUGUAUCUUUCGUCCCUGCAAUGGGAUGGAGCCUGAUGUGGCGGCAGCUGGGACUGGCUGGUGCUGGCUGUGUGAUGUCCCCUUCCAAAUAGAAAAUGCAAAGCACAAAGGACAAAGACGGUCGCUCGCGCUCUCGCAAUUAUCUUGGACUUGGACUUGGUCUUGGACUUGGCUCUGCCAUUAGAUGACCCCAACUAUUAUUUUUUUUCCGCAUAUAUUUUACGCAUAUUUUAUGUGACUCAAUUUGUUGUUCCUUCUGCC